rnacentral:rRNA from 1 species
GACGAACGCUGGCGGCGUGCUUAACACAUGCAAGUCGAACGAAGAGCGACGGAAGCUUGCUUCUAUCAAUCUUAGUGGCGAACGGGUGAGUAACGCGUAAUCAGCCUGCCCUUCAGAGGGGGACAACAGUUGGAAACGACUGCUAAUACCGCAUACGAUCUAACCUCGGCAUCGAGGAUAGAUGAAAGGUGGCCUCUACAUGUAAGCUAUCACUGAAGGAGGGGAUUGCGUCUGAUUAGCUAGUUGGAGGGGUAACGGCCCACCAAGGCGAUGAUCAGUAGCCGGUCUGAGAGGAUGAACGGCCACAUUGGGACUGAGACACGGCCCAGACUCCUACGGGAGGCAGCAGUGGGGAAUCUUCCGCAAUGGACGAAAGUCUGACGGAGCAACGCCGCGUGAGUGAUGACGGCCUUCGGGUUGUAAAGCUCUGUUAAUCGGGACGAAAGGCCUUCUUGCGAAUAGUGAGAAGGAUUGACGGUACCGGAAGAGAAAGCCACGGCUAACUACGUG